rnacentral:rRNA from 1 species
CCUACGGGUGGCAGCAGUGGGGAAUAUUGGACAAUGGGGGAGACACUGAAGCAGCGAAGCCGCGUGAGCGAUGAAGUAUCUCGGUAUGUAAAGCUCUAUCAGUAGGGAAGAAAAUGACGGUACGUGACUAAGAAGCCACGGCUAACUACGUGCCAGCAGCCGCAGUAAUACGUAGGGGGCCAGCGUUAUCCGGAUUUACUGGGUGUAAUGGGAGCGUAGACGGCGGUGCAAGCCAGAUGUGAAAGCCUGUGGCUCACCCCCGGGACUGCAUUUGGAACUGUGCUGCUAGAGUGUCGGAGAGGCAGGCGGAAUUCCUAGUGUAGCGGUGAAAUGCUUAGAUAUUAGGAGGAACACCAGUGGCGAAGGCGGCCUGCUGGACGAUGACUGACGUUGAGGCUCGAAGGCGUGGGGAGCAAACAGGAUUAGAUACCCUUGUAGUC